CCGGUUGAUCCUGCCGGAGGUUACUGCUAUCGAGGUUCGACUAAGCCAUGCGAGUCGAAUGUAGCAAUACAUGGCGUACUGCUCAGUAACACGUGGACAACCUACCCUUGGGACGGGGAUAAACCCGGGAAACUGGGUAUAAUACCCGAUAGAUCUCGACUGCUGGAAUGCAUCGAGUUCGAAAGCUCCGGCGCCCAAGGAUGGGUCUGCGGCCUAUCAGGUAGUGGUGGGUGUAGCGUACCUACUAGCCUACGACGGGUACGGGUUGUGAGAGCAAGAGCCCGGAGAUGGACUCUGAGACACGAAUCCAGGCCCUACGGGGUGCAGCAGGCGCGAAAACUUUACAAUGCUGGAAACAGCGAUAAGGGGACCUCGAGUGCCAGGUUACAAAUCUGGCUGUCGUGAUGCCUAAAAAGCAUUGCAUAGCAAGGGCCGGGCAAGACCGGUGCCAGCCGCCGCGGUAACACCGGCGGCUCGAGUGGUAACCGUUAUUAUUGGGUCUAAAGGGUCUGUAGCCGGCCGGAUAAGUCUCUUGGGAAAUCUGGCAGCUUAACUGUCAGGCUUUCAGGGGAUACUGUCUGGCUCGAGGCCGGGAGAGGUGAGAGGUACUUCAGGGGUAGGGGUGAAAUCUUGUAAUCCUUGAAGGACCACCAGUGGCGAAGGCGUCUCACCAGAACGGACCUGACGGCAAGGGACGAAAGCUAGGGGCACGAACCGGAUUAGAUACCCGGGUAGUCCUAGCCGUAAACGAUACUCGCUAGGUGUCGGCCACGGUGCGACCGUGGUCGGUGCCGUAGGGAAGCCGUGAAGCGAGCCACCUGGGAAGUACGGCCGCAAGGCUGAAACUUAAAGGAAUUGGCGGGGGAGCACCACAACGGGUGGAGCUUGCGGUUUAAUUGGAUUCAACGCCNGGAA
rnacentral:rRNA from 1 species